GACGAACGCUGGCGGCGUGCUUAACACAUGCAAGUCGAGCGACGCUCUCGCCUUCGGGUGGGAUGACGGAGCGGCGAACGGGUGAGUAACACGUGGGCAACCUGCCCCUAGCUCUGGGAUAAGCCCGGGAAACCGGGUCUAAUACCGGAUAUGAGAUCGGGACGCAUGUUCUGGUUUGGAAAGUUUUUCGGCUAGGGAUGGGCCCGCGGCCUAUCAGCUUGUUGGUGGGGUGAUGGCCUACCAAGGCGACGACGGGUAGCCGGCCUGAGAGGGCGACCGGCCACACUGGGACUGAGACACGGCCCAGACUCCUACGGGAGGCAGCAGUGGGGAAUAGUGCACAAUGGGCGAAAGCCUGAUGCAGCGACGCCGCGUGAGGGAUGACUGCCUUCGGGUUGUAAACCUCUUUCAGCAGGGACGAAGCGUGAGUGACGGUACCUGCAGAAGAAGCACCGGCCAACUACGUGCCAGCCGCCGCCGUAACAC
rnacentral:rRNA from 1 species